GACGAACGCUGGCGGCGUGCCUAAUACAUGCAAGUCGAACGCAUUUUCUUUCACCGUGGCUUGCUACACCGAAAGAAAAUGAGUGGCGAACGGGUGAGUAACACGUGGUUAACCUGCCCAUCAGCGGGGGAUAACACUUGGAAACAGGUGCUAAUAUCGUAUAAUUCCUUUUACUGCAUGGUAGAUGGAUGAUAGGCGCUUUUGCGUCUCUGAUGGAUGGACCCGCGGUGCAUUAGCUAGUUGGUGGGGUAACGGCCUACCAAGGCUGCGAUGCAUAGCCGACCUGGGGGGGGGGACGGCCACACUGGGACUGGGACACGGCCCAGGCUCCUACGGGGGGCAGCAGUAGGGGAUCUUCGGGAAUGGGCGCAAAGCUGACCGGACAACGCCGGGGGAGUGGAGAAGGGUUUCGGGUCGUAAAACUCGGUUGUUAGAAGAGAACAAGGAUUAGAGUGGAAAGUUCAUCCCUUGACGGUAUCUAACCAGAAAGCCACGGCUAACUACGUG
rnacentral:rRNA from 1 species